GACGAACGCUGGCGGCGUGCUUAACACAUGCAAGUCGAACGAUGAAGCCGGAGCUUGCUCUGGUGAAUUAGUGGCGAACGGGUGAGUAACACGUGAGUAACCUGCCCUCGACUCUGGGAUAACUGCGGGAAACUGUAGCUAAUACCGGAUACGACCCUCGGAGGCAUCUCCUGGGGGUGGAAAGAAUUUCGGUCAAGGAUGGCCUCGCGGCCUAUCAGCGAGUUGGUGAGGUAAAGGCUCACCAAGGCGACGACGGGUAGCCGGCCUGAGAGGGUGACCGGCCACACUGGGACUGAGACACGGCCCAGACUCCUACGGGAGGCAGCAGUGGGGAAUAUUGCACAAUGGGCGCAAGCCUGAUGCAGCAACGCCGCGUGAGGGAUGACGGCCUUCGGGUUGUAAACCUCUUUUAGCAGGGAAGAAGCGAAAGUGACGGUACCUGCAGAAAAAGCACUGGCUAACUACGUGCCAGCCGCCGCCGUAA
rnacentral:rRNA from 1 species